UUUGUAGUCUUUUGGUUUAUUGAAUCAGCAGGAAGGUUUUUCAAAUAAAAUAUUUUUAUAUCCUUAAAAUAGUGUUUCAAAGGGCCUUGGAAGGUCACUUAUAUUCUGAAUAUCAAUUGAUGAUAAUUGAGAUUGAGAGAUAAUCCAGAGUGAAUCAGAUGUCUUUGAGAUAGAAGAGAGAAGGAAGAUAUUUCUUGGAUAUAUUUUGUCAUGCUAGAAAGCAAAAUUAUUACAAUUCAUUUGCACUAGAGUUUUUUAAGCAACAGAAGCUUUUUGUUCUUAUUACUGUAUUACAGCUGUUCUAAAUGUUGAACAUAGUAAAAACAUCUGACUAAACCAUUCUUGCCAGCAUAAGAAUCAUCUGUAUAUAUAGUCUGGUAGCAAAAGAGGCAUUUUCAAAGUAAUUUUAUCACAUAAUUUGGAGAUUGCUUUUUCUUGUAGCUUGGGGUCUGCUUUAAGCAAGAGGACUGCAUCACAUAAAGUCUGCAGAGUCUGUUUGAUUUGCUUUGUAACUGAUGUUAAAGUACUGGCAGAUGCUUGGUCAGCACAGUUCCCAUUUGAUCUCUGCCAAGGCGUUUUUUCUCAGUGACCUGCUUUAGCUUCUUCAGCAGCAGUCACUUGGCUCUUUCCCCUUGGCAAAAUUGCCUGUUCUGGUUAUUGUCUCAUUUAGGUUUGCUUGGUUUUCUUAAUUUCCAAACUCAGAUAUGUUGUCCCAAAUGCACUUUAAAUUAAUGUGUUUGCAAUAUGCUUUUCAAGUCUUUUGCUGUAGUGUAUUACACUUGAGAACUGCUGUCACUGAAUUUGUGGUUCCCUUUCCUUACUUCUUGUUCCUUCAGCGUGCUAUUGAGUGACUGAUUGGCCUUCAGGUGUCCAGAGGUGGUCAGUGCUAAAUCCCAUCUACCUUAAGCCUGUCUUCAAAUGGCUAAUAAAUCUUUAAGGAAGUAAUCUUAAACUGAUACUUCAACAAUAAACUUUCCUUCCAGUGACAUGUGGUUUAGAAAUCUUGAAGCAUUUCUUCUCUUUUAAUCAUAGGUGGACAAAGGGCUGUCUUAGUAGGGCAGGAGGUGGACAAAAGAGGAGAAGGGAGGAGAAUCUUGCAACUUUUGGCAUCACAUAAGCCAUUCAUGGUGUUUUCUGACAGUAUGCUUGGUCAUUAACUGUGUGUUCUUUAUGGCAAGGUACCUGUAUUUAGUUUGGAACUUGAUGCCAGAGGUGUGACCUCCUUUGGAGCACUGCUUCAUGCAGAAAUUGUGUCUUACAUGACUAGUGUAGUACCUGGUCCAUAAGUUUUUUUUGUCUUGAAUUUAUAUUCUUGUGAUAAAUGCAUAAGAUGAGUGAAUGAAUUAAUAAGUGAGUGAAUGAAUGAAUAAAUGAAGCCUUUUAGAAAAGACUUAAAAGAUUGAAAGGGUUGUGAUGUCCCAAAGAAAAUUUUAUUACUUCAGUUUUGCUCCCGUAGUUCAUGGGAAUUAAGAUUUUGGCAAUGCCUUGUUCAUCUUCACUUAUAUAGUCUCCUUUCUCUCUCCUUCUACCCCUUGUUGUGUUGGGUUUUUCUACUUAUCUUCUCUUUCCUGAUUCAUUCUUUUCUGUUUGUCCCUCUGGAAUACUGCCUACCAAAGAAUUUCACUAGUGGUUUAAGUACUUCAAUUUGCAUUGUACAUUUGCUGCAGACAAAUGAACAGGUUUGUGGGGUACGUAAAAGCAUUCUGCUUAUCUAGCAGGCAGGAAUUUGGAGCAACACUCCUCUUCAUUUUGUAUGCUGAACUAUUGUUUGCUGGUGAAAUCAGUUCCACAUAUGCCUCUAUUAGGCAAUCCCACUGCAAAGGGUGUGAGCAAAUUACAUGCAUUUGUAGCCAAGCUUUUCUCUCCAUCACUUACAGACUAGUAAUUCAAGUUAAGCAAGUUAUUGUCCAUACUAGCACAUGCUGUCUGUUUUCCUGAUCCAGAUGUAAUAGAAAGCAGUGAAAUAGUGAUACUUUUAAAUGAGGUUUUUAAAGUAAUUUUUCAUUGCUUGAUAGAUUUUUGAAAGUAUUUAUUUACACUGCUCUGUUAGUGCAGAUAACUGUUCUAGUACAAUAAAUGAAAAAUAAAACUGAUUCUGUAUUUUUGAAUUAACAUAUUUGAUGACAGAGGGGAAGGGGAAAAAUUCCAGUGGGAAGGGAGGGGGAGAUAGAGAACUGACCUGGGUCUCAUAAGGAAUGUUUACACCUUGACUUGGAAUAUAGAAAAAGAAGUACAGAUAGCUAUUUUAUUUGAAUCAUGGACUUGCCAAUUAGCCAUCAAGUGCUUCCAUCUGUGAAAUAGUUGAUCAGAUGGGUUAGCUGGGAUGUUUCCAGAUUAGGGCAUUGUAAAUGGCACUUGAAAACUGUCACUUUGAUUAAGAGGUUUCAAAUACUGCACUGCUUGGUGCUGUGGAACCUUUUUCUCCUCAUAGGAUCUUGGCUUUUUUAGAACAUGUUCUUCCUAUUUAGUAAAUCUGUGGCACCAUGGGAACUUGGGAGACCUGCUGCUGAUCUAAGGUUCUGCUUCAUGUGUUAAUCUACUCAGGGUGGUUAUUGGAGGACAGCACAGUGCACUCUUUUGUGGGGCUUCCAAAGAGGAGUUGAUGGUCUGGCAGACAGAGGAGGGUCAAGCUCUGUGUAGAUAAUUCCCAAUUAACAAUUAGAUGCAAAUUUCCUUGAGUUACUUCAUUAAGCUGAUGUGUCAUUUGAAGUACAUGACUUUUUCUUGCAUCUUACAUCUUUUCUAUAUAAACAAAAACAUCCACCAACAAUAAAAAACCUCAAACCCAAAACAAACCCAGACACCCCCAUCCCUUCUCUCCAGAAAAAACCCCAAAACAAGAAAACAACCCAGUACCAUGCCAGCAACCCAAACAGGAAAACCUGCAAUACAUUAACAUCUUACUGAAAAUUAUUUUGGUUCAUUGAUUCUUGAAACAGCUUCUGUUUUAAAGUGUGUAAAUGUGUUGUCUUUAAGUACCUUUUUCAUUGUAAAGCUGUAGAGUGUUCUGGUAUCUCAAUAUCUGUUUAGCUGUAUGACUUUCUCCUUUCUGUGUCUCCUGGUUAUGUAUGCUUUAUGUGGUUUGAAUUGUGGUAGUGCACUGUUGUCUGCUUCUCAUACGUCUUUUGAAACUUCAAAUGCACCUUUUGAGAAUAUUUUGCCAGGGAAGUAAAUCUGAAUUGUAGCUCUUUAAAUUGUGCAUAGUUUCUGUGCCGUUGCUUCUGAGACAAUUUCCAGCAAAGUUCUCAAGUACAAAGAAUGUUACUAUUUCUAGAACUCAAAUGUAAUUCCCAGCAGAUGAGAUGAUGUACAAUUUUGAUGGAUUAUUCCAGUUUUACUUAUUUUCCCUGGAAGCUGUCAACCCAUUUAAGGAAUAAAAAAAAUUCUCAAUGACAAAUAUUUUUCAUCCAUUAAAAAUAUCCAACAUGAAAUCCCAUAGAAAGUUCAGAAGACUCAAUUGCCUGCAUUAUCUUCCAUAGAAAGUCUCAACAUCAGUUUUUAUGUACAAAAUAUGUGGUUUUGUUUUAAGGAGAAGAAAACCACCUUAGAGAUAAUAAACUCUGCUGUUUCACUUACUUUCACUGUCUGGGGUGAAUGUUUUACUGCACUGCUUAGUGUUUUAGAACAGGGCUGUUCAAUGAAAACUUCAUAUUAAAUUUAGGGUCCAGGUGUGGCCUGGGUCUGGUUUUGCUGGAGAUAACUCCAUGGGUCAUAUUAGGCUUGUUUGAAAGUUGCUGGAGGUAGCAUACAUUUGAAGUACAGUUGACUCAUUGUAAUGUGAUUUGUCUCUUAAGGAGCUAAUUGGGAGAGGAAAAGAGAAACCUGCUAGAAUUGGUUUAGGAGCAGUCAUAAUUUUACUUAAACACUGUGUGUAAUUUGUUUUAUAACGGCUGUCUUAAAGUAGGAUGGCUGCACUACAGACAUGUCCUACAUAUUAAUCACAAACAUACAUAAAGCUAAAACUAAAAAAGCUAGUGGAUUGUGUCUGAGCAUCAGUUUCCUCUGAUCUGCUAUUUUACUCUGGAGAACAUUUUUAGCUGCCUCUUCUUGGCCUCAGAUCAUAAACUUCCGUAUUUCUGAUAAUUAGGCAAUUAGAUUCUUUCUCCUCAAUCUAAUUGCCAGUGUAGUCCAGCUGACUUUUGACUUCUCCAAAAGAGACAAAGGAGCUUGGACAAGGAAAUGAGUCAUAAUGUAGCCAUAAUGAGAAAGAACAUAGGAAAGAAAGGGUAAAGAAGAAGAGAUAUCUUGGUGCAUUUUGCAUUGUACCUAUUCACUUUUAGUGUUCCUUUCUGCAAGCAGAAACAAGAGUGAUCAGUUUAAUUUUUUUCUCUUAGAAAUGAUAUCUUCUUUCAGAAAUUCCAUGCAAUUGAGUAUUAAGUUGCAAUGCUGCUAUGCAUCACCUUUGAGCGAGGGUUUCUUUUCUUCCUGCUGUGUAGAAGAGUCCUCUAAGUACUUCUGGGAAGUUUGAAGUGUUUCUGUGUUGUAGUGGUCUGGUUUGGAGGGUGGUGGGUGUUGGGUGUUGGUUGUUUUCUUCAAGUGUUGCAGGCAACUGACCUUGCUGCAUAUUGCCACUGAGUCUCCCAGUUCACCUGCUUGUAUCCAGAGGACCAGCUCUUCACAACACUGAACCUUCAGGCAUACAGAACCCAGUGCAUUCUUCUUCAUAUUGAGGAGAACUGUGUUUCGAAUAAGAUAAUUAAAAAUCUACAUUGGAGCAAGACUACAGGGGGCAGACAAAAUUCGAAAUCUUGUGUCAGAUGCUGAUUCGUCAUCUGCCUUGAGACUCAGUUCUAAAUCCCAAUACUGUCUGUAAUGCUGAUGGGAGUAGAUAACAGGUUAGUCCUGGCUUUUUUCUGGAAUGAAAUCGACCUCUGUAUUUUCUUUUUACUUCCAGUAGACUGAGGCUGUGAAAAGCAAUAGUUAUUUUCAAAAAGAUGUAUAGUGUUACUGAGAACUUGUUUUGUGUCCCUAAUCUGACAUUGUCAUAGACUCAUACAAUGGUUUGUGUUGGAAGGGACAUUCAAAGGUCAUUCAGUCCAAAUUGUCUCUAUGCUUGGUAAGGAAUAUUGACUGCAGUAGUACAGCACACCUACCCAUUUGAGUUAUGUGUCUCAGUGAAUGUGUAAAAUGGGGCAAAGAUAGAGGAAACACUGACCCAGAGAAGAUUACACUUAAGCAGCCAUUUCAUACCACAGUUGUGUUGGGAGCAUUAUGGGAAGUCUGACUAUUGCAAAUUGCAUCAAGGUUAUGUAUGUAAGUAAUUUUAUAUCAUGAAUACAUGUUAAUAUUGAGUAGUAAACAUUUAUUUUUAAUAAUAAUGUUCUCUGAGUGUCUCAUUAAACUAGAGAUGAUUUUUGUUCGAAGUUCUGCUUAGUUAAAAGUUACCAAAUAACUAGCAAACCAACAAAAAAAAAGUAAAAAAGCCCCAACCAAACAAAAAAACUCAGAAAAAAAC